AGCUGCUCCUUCUGGCUUCUGGAGUUAAGACUUGGGUCUCCAAAAGGUCUCUUCCUGGAGCAUCGUGAGGCUCCCAAAGGUGAAUAUUAAUGAGCAGCGGUACCUGGGCUCCUCGGCACUUUAAUUACAGGAUUUCACACAAAAAGGUACCAGCAUUAUACACUGCGAUCUUGCUGUGAGGCAAACAGUCCGUCGUAUUGC